UACGGAGGGGGCUAGCGUUGUUCGGAAUUACUGGGCGUAAAGCGCACGUAGGCGGAUUGGAAAGUCAGAGGUGAAAUCCCAGGGCUCAACCUUGGAACUGCCUUUGAAACUCCCAGUCUUGAGGUCGUGAGAGGUGGGUGGAAUUCCGAGUGUAGAGGUGAAAUUCGUAGAUAUUCGGAGGAACACCAGUGGCGAAGGCGGCCCACUGGCACGAUACUGACGCUGAGGUGCGAAAGCGUGGGGAGCAAACAGG
rnacentral:rRNA from 1 species